rnacentral:rRNA from 1 species
GACGAACGCUGGCGGCGUGCUUAACACAUGCAAGUCGAACGGAAAGGCCCUGCUUUUGUGGGGUGCUCGAGUGGCGAACGGGUGAGUAACACGUGAGUAACCUGCCCUUGACUUUGGGAUAACUUCAGGAAACUGGGGCUAAUACCGGAUAGGAGCUCCUGCUGCAUGGUGGGGGUUGGAAAGUUUCGGCGGUUGGGGAUGGACUCGCGGCUUAUCAGCUUGUUGGUGGGGUAGUGGCUUACCAAGGCUUUGACGGGUAGCCGGCCUGGGAGGGUGACCGGCCACAUUGGGACUGAGAGACGGCCCAGACUCCUACGGGAGGCAGCAGUGGGGAAUAUUGCACAAUGGGCGGAAGCCUGAUGCAGCGGCGCCGCGUGCGGGAUGACGGCCUUCGGGGUAUAAACCGCUUUCGCCUGUGACGAAGCGUGAGUGACGGUAAUGGGUAAAGAAGCACCGGCUAACUACGUG